UCACCAGCCUUUUAUUAAUAUUUGAAAAAGAAGCCUAGCUGUAUCUUGGCAUCAUCAAGAGACAAGAAUCGUUCUUCUGGAAAAACUGAUUCCAAAUCCAAAAUCCGUAUACACUGUCAGUGUAUAGAAACGGCAUUCACAAACGUUGCAGCCAAGCUCAGUUAUCAAUGUUAAGGCUGAUCUACUUGCAUAUGACAUUUUCUGGGGUUUUCGUCACUACUGCGAUGGGUAGAUAAAGAUCAUCUGAUACUUUAAUAAAGUGCGGUCCCUAUUUAUAUAGAUGCAUAUCAGUAACAGAAAACCAGCUAAGGAAUAAAUGUUCUGUAUUAGAGAACUAACUACUUAGAGGAAGCAAAGUCAAGGUGGUUGAGAAUAUGAGGAAGGAGCAGCCACUUAAAAUCUUAGUGCUAUUUGUUUGUCCAUCUGUCGAUGAACAUUGGUUUCUUAUAAAUUUGACUUUUGAAAUGUUUUGUUGGUUUUGAUCCUACAACAGAUUGGUUUACAUGUUAGUGUAUUGUUGUUAUAAGUUCAAAUUUGUGGGACUUUUGAAUCCCCUCAAUUUGCUAGUCUUGGUAUGCAAAAGUCUUCUUGGACUAGGCUAGGCUGACACUACUUGAAAGGAGACUGAAGCACUAGGGAAUAAAAUGGGGCAGAGUAGUUCACAUACCGACAUCUAAUUUUCCAUAAGAUAUAAGAAAUAGAUGAGAUUUUGUAUAAGAUUUAAUAAUUAUGAAAACUUCAGUAUAAUGAGUCAAUUAAUCUACUUACUAUAUUAUUAUUAUUAUAUUUAUUAUUAUUUUAUUAUAA
rnacentral:lncRNA from 1 species